AUGCCAAGGACAUGCUGGAGGGACUACUGUAUAUCUCUGAGCUGGCCUAGUGUUGCCUCAGGGUCCCCCCAAGAACAGCUGGAGCAAGAGUGUGUGGAUCGGGAAGUCCGGGAGUCUUUGCUUAGUCCCAUGUCUCAAACUUCAGAGGUUUUUGUACGACGGCUCUAUCAGUUUGUAUCACUGUGGUACACGUUUGGUGGAGGAACCAGACUGGAGUUUGGAAGUGAUGCUCGUCCCACCCUGACAGUGCUGCCCCCCUCCAGUGUGGAGCUGCAGCAGGGGAAGGCCACCCUCAUGUGUCUGGCCAACAAGGGCUUCCCCUCAGACUGGAGUCUGUCCUGGAAGGUGGACGGCAGCAGCAGCAGCAGCAGCUGGGAGGAGAACAAGAGCCGAGGAGUGCUGCAGAAGGACGGCCUCUACAGCUGGAGCAGCACCCUGAGGCUCCCUGCAGACCAGUGGAGGAAGGUGGGCUCUGUGACCUGUGAGGCCACCCAGGGCUCCCAGUCUGCAGUCACAGAGACACUGAGGAGAGACCAGUGCUCCCAGUCCUGA